UUAGUGGCGAACGGGUGAGUAAUACGUGAGUAACCUACCUUUAACUCUGGGAUAAGCCUGGGAAACUGGGUCUAAUACCGGAUACGACCAAUCUCCGCAUGGGGUGUUGGUGGAAAGCGUUAUGUAGUGGUUAUAGAUGGGCUCACGGCCUAUCAGCUUGUUGGUGAGGUAACGGCUCACCAAGGCGACGACGGGUAGCCGGCCUGAGAGGGUGACCGGCCACACUGGGACUGAGACACGGCCCAGACUCC
rnacentral:rRNA from 1 species